rnacentral:lncRNA from 1 species
CUCUCGGCCACACCCUCCUCCCGCUGGUCGCUCCACGUCUUCCGGGUUUCUGUAGGGCUGGGUCUUUUGGUGCUCCGAGGGAGACCUGGCUUCUUCUAAUUCCUCAGGAUCCUUCAGUAAGGCCACCUUUGCCCUUCAGUCCCGCGAUCACGUGGAACUCAGAUGUUCCGAACCCCGUGGUUAGAGCAAGUAUGCAGUUGAGAAGGAACGGAGAGAGUGAUCGAGCAGGAUCAAGGAGAGAGAAAAAAGGGCGAACUAAAGGUGUCCGAGGCUUCCAAGAGAGUGGUUCCCAGUCGCAGGCAACUUGGCGAUCAACCUUCGUACUUUAGAGGUGUUUAAAUUGGGAUCCAGAAACACGAGGUGGUCUUUUUAAAAGUAACUUGUAAAUAAACCUCUUUUCAUGCUGAUAAUAGCCAUACAUAGUUAAGUUCCACAGAUAUUUCAUUUUUUCCUUAACCCUUUUCUUUAAAUUGCACUUGGCUUUUAUAUAACUAAGAUGAGUUAACCAUACACUGGUGAAGGGGAACCUUAAAACAAAACCUGAAAGGGAGGGUUGUGCUUUGCCACCAAACAAGCUGGAGGCUAAUUGUGUGACCUUGAAAUUAGUUGGUUAAGCUUCCUAGCCAGAAUUUAACAAUCUGAACAAUAAAACUAGGAUCCUUGCCUCAUAGAGGAUAAAAUGGGGUCAUAAAUAAAUUGCCCAAGUACAGUCGCAAAUAGAUCUGUGAUCAGUAUUUCUUUUCAUCAAUUUUCUAUUGAAAAUAAUUACCUGUUAUUUAAUCUCAUGGUGAGUGAUAAUUUUAACCCCCGUUUACAAGUAAUAAAACUCACUAGAGAAUAACCAAACUGGAUUUCAAUUUAGGCAAUCUUGACCCUAGGAGGCUUCAACCAGAAGUAUUUUAUGUUUAAGUAGUAUGAUUGUAACCCUCCAAAACAGAUUGAAGAAAUGGGAACAGCAGAGUAUAUUCUAGCAUGUUAGAGAAUCAUAUAAGCAAAUACUGUGGAAAAUAGAAAAUGUAUAUAUCAAAAACACACUUCUUUUUCUUUUUAAGGAUAAUACCGAGAAACAGCAUAGAGAAAAGUUUAAGAAUAAAUAACAAGCCAUGUUAAGAACAUUGAGCAGCCUAGAGGUGAAGCACACCUUUAAUCCCACCAUUCAGGAAUCUCAGGCAAUCUGUGAGUUCAAGGUCAGCCUGAGCUACACAGAAACCUUGCCUUGAAAAACAAACAAUAUAAUAGAGCAAAGUUGUGGCCAGGGAUCUGGGUGGGGUGGGGUGGGGUGGGGGACCUAGCCACUCCCUGAAUUCUCAACCAUUUGCCCUCAUAAAAAGGACUAAGAGGGAUGCUCAGAAUUAUUUAUAUACACAUUCCUUAAAGAGGUCCCAAACACUAAGAGACCAGGCCCUGUAGGGGUGUGCCCUAGGUGGGUUCUCGGGGCUGACCAACACUGAGAGGAGAGGUAGACAGACUCAUGCACCCUAUCCCCAAACCAGAAGACAUCUCCAACUGAUUAACGGCUCACAAAUGAAUAUUAGUUCUAACAGUUUCACCUGGGCUACAAAAA